rnacentral:lncRNA from 10 species
CGGCGGCCACGUGACAGGGGGGUCACGCGCAGGGUCGUAGGGGACCGCCUGGGGAUCCCCGGACGGCUGCGAGGAAUGAGCGGUUGGCUCGGGCUGGUUUCCUCCCUCCACCGCCUGCUUGUUUCGCCAUGCCCGGGCCGGACGGUGGGGCUGCAGCGGCGAAAGCGACUGAAGUCCGGGAGCAGUCGCAUGAGCUUCCCGGUCACCAGGAGGCCCCGGGAACAGACACCUCACCCUGACAUUGUGGCAGGAACUUCUGGAUUGCUUUCCAAAGUGGCUGCACUGUUUUCUAUCCCCACUGGUAAAUGGCAGGAAAACAUCUAAGAAAGGAGGCUCCCCCCUUCCCUUGCAGGGUUACCAGCAAUUAAAAAGAAGUACUAGAGAGGCAAAUAUCGGCAGUAUACAUCUAAGCGCUGGUCGGAAAAGAAGGAACUCAGCCCAAGAACUUGCCCAAUCUGAUACUGGAGGUGCCACUCAAGAACCACUCCCUCCAAGAUGUUUUCCUGGAUUUCCUCAGCCUAAAGUAAUCCCUCUUUUUCCUGGGCUAUACCAUCUGGAACAGAUGACUUCCAAGGACACCGUAGCAAAGAAAAAGAGAACUGGAAGCCCAUGUGCCUUAAUCGCUUCAUCCUAGAGGGCGCAGCAGUCUGGAAAUAGAAACAAUGGUGGUGGAUCAAUUCAAUUGAUCCAGAUUUGGAAGUUGCGUGGCAAGUGAGAAGGAUUUGGAUGGUAAUGGUGAGAAAGGAUUUGAAAUAAUUUAUCAAACCUGGUUCAGAUCAAUCCUGGUGCAUAAGUGACUAACAAGGAGCUGGAGUGGAUGGCAUAGCAUAGUGGCUAGAACCCUAAAACAAGGGAUUUUACAUGAAAGUGGAAAGGUAACUGUUUGGUUUUGCAUUUACCCAUUCCCUCUGUUGAGUUUUUUUUUUUUAAUACUGAGUUAUUCACUACUUUGUCUUCUUUUUUUUUGAGACAGAGUCUCAUUCUGUUGCUCAGGCUAGAGUACAGUGGCAAUCUCGGCUCACUGCAGUCUCUACCUCCUGGGUUCCAGUGAUUCUUGUUCCUCAACCUUCUGAGUAGCUGGGAUUACAGAUGCCCACUACCAUGCCCAGCUAAUUUUUGUGUUUUUAUUAGAGAUGGGGUUUCACCAUGUUGACCAGGCUGAUCUCGAACUCCUGACCUCAAGUAACCCACCCACCUCAGCCUCCCAAAGUGCUGGGAUUACAGGCGUAAGCCACUGCACCUGGCCUGCUUUGCCUUCUUAAACAGAUGAUUCAGAACAUAAUAUAACCUUGUCUUGUGACUCAGGGUGGCCAUUAUGAUCAUCUGCUUUUGACCUGGACCUCUGAGGCAUGUAGCAAUAUGUCUUUCCUUAUGUCUUUUCCCUAAGUGUGUUCCGGAUUUUUGUGCUUUUGAAGAAGUUCUGAGAUCAACGUAUUCUUGGUUCUUCUAAUGUGUAGCUGUUUGACUAAGGACUGACUCCAUGCAUCUCCUAUGAAGUGAAGUUCAUGGGUUUUAUGACAGCAAUUUUACAUGCUGCUUAGAUGCUUUUUUCUCAUCUAGGUUUUUAGUUAUAUUAUGGCAGAGAUUAUAAGAAAUCUGAUCUCUAGAGAAGUGCUGGUACUUCUUUAAUUUGGCAUAGACUAUUUUUGGCAAGCUAGUUUUCUAGCAUUGAACACUUUAAUGAAUAAGUUCAUAGUCACCCUAUCCACAUUCUUUUUAAUGGUAGAAAACUGUCUGUCUAAUACAGUAGCCAUUAGCUACAUGUAGAUUUUUAAAUUUAAAUAUACAUUAAUUAAGAGUAGGCUGGGCAUGGUGGUUCAUGCCUGUAAUCCCAGCACUUCAGAAGGCCAAAGUGGGUGGAUCAUUUGAGGUCAGGAGUUCAAGACCAGCCUGGCCAACAUGGUGAAACCCCGUUUCCACUAAAAAUACAAAAAUUAGCUGGGCGUGGUGGUACACACCUGUAAUCCCAGCUACUCGGGAGGCUGAGGCAGGAGAAUUCCUUGAACCCAGGAGGCAGAGGUUUGCAGUAGCCGAAAUCCGCCACUGCACUUCAACCUGGGUGACAGAGCAAGACUCCAUCUCAAAAAAAAAAAAAGAAAGAAAAAAUUCCCUUAUUGUACUAGCCACAUUUCAAGUGCUUAGUAGUCACAUGUGGCUACUGGCUACCCUAUUGGAAAGUGCAGAUGUAGAACACUUUCAUCAUCAAAUAAAGUUCUAUAGAGCAGCAAUGGUUUAGACAUUGAGCCAGUCUCUUCUCAGGCUUCUUGUUUCCAAACUAGAGUCUCAUGGUUUAAGUGCAUCCUUGUACAAGCAACCAUGCUCAUACUAUUCUCCAACACUCUCUGAUUUCCAACCCCUGAUCAUUGUCAUUUGCUCUCUAUUAGUAUUAAUUUCCUAUGGCUACUAUAACAAAUCAUCACAAGUUUAGUGGCUUAAAACAACAUAAAUUUAUUAUCACAUAUGACAUAGUUUUGAUAUUUGUCCCCUUCAAAUCUCAUGUUGAAAUGUGACCCCUAAUGUUGGAGGUGGAGCCCACUGGGAGGUGUUUAGGUUAUGGGGGUUGAUCCCUCUUGAAUAGCUUGGUGCUGUCCCCAUGAUAAUGAAUGAGUUCUCACUCUAUUAGUUUACAGGAGAUCUAGUUGUUUACAAGUACAUAGCAUGCCUCCCCUCUCUCUAUCACUCCCCCCUCACCAUGUGACAUGCCUGCUCACCCUUUGCCAUCUGCCAUGAUUAGAAGCUUCCUGAGGUUCUCACCAGAAGCAGAUGCUGGCAUCAUGCUGCUUGCUGCUUAUACAGCCUGCAGAACUGUGAGGCAAAUCAACCUCUUUUAUUUAUAAAUUACCCAGUCUCAGGUGUUCCUUUAUAGCCACACAAAACCAACUAAGGCAAUACAGUUUUGGAGAUUGAAGUUCAAAAUCAGCCAUUUUCCAGCUUCUAGAUGCUGCCUACAUUCCUUAGUUCAUAGCUCCUUCCUCCGUCUUCAAAGCCUGCAGCGUAGCAUCUUCAAGUCUCUCUGUGACUCUCUGACCUCCGCCUCCAUAGUCACGUGACCUUCUCUGACUCUGACCUUCCUGCCUCUUUUAUGAAGAGUCCGUAAUAAAGAUUAGGUCGCCUUGGCUAAUCCAGAGCAAUCAUCUCAUUUCAAGAAUAUUAACUUAAUCACACCUGCAAAGUCCCUUUCAGCAUUUUACCAUUAUGUUAUACCGGUAUGUUGUGAGGACCACUAUUCAGCCUGCCACAGACAGUUUUCUACAGUGGCAUUUUGUUUUCCUGUGAUGGACAGUGAUCCAGUGGUCCUUAUUUUCCAGGACCAGAGUAUGCUGGUCCAGCACAGAGUAUGCUGAUAUCCCAAGGUUUUAUAUAAAGGGAGGAUAAUGUUUUAAAAUCUUAUUUUCUGUGAGAAAACAUUUUAAAUGGUCCAUUUUCAAGGUAUGAUAAAUCUAAGUACUGGCAGCCAGCCUGCGGACGUGACAAACCGCACAGCUCAUGCACCUAGAAAGUCGCAAUAAGCAAACAGAAUGUAGAGGAGGAGUCAGCCUAUAAAAGGGAAGAAAAAGUUUACAGAGUUAUUGGAAAAUCGAAACUUAAGCAGGGAAGGGGACUGGGUUAUAACCUUAUAAGGGAUAAUGAAACUUAGGUGACGUCCAGAAAGAUUGUAACCCCACAGUAUUUGACCAAUGAGGAACUGGGGGAGGGACUUGCGUGCUAGGAGAUAAAUUACCUGCUGUAGCUGCCCCAGCUGUGCCUGCCUACCAGACACCCAUUCUUGCACGAUCACCAUUAAAAUUCUCUCUUCCAUUGUUCUUUUGUGUCUCUGAGUCCAUUCUUUGGGUUUGGACAGAUGAAUGUGUUUCUCACAAACUUGGGGGCCCAUCUGGGAUCUCUGUGCCUGCGUGGAGUUGGACUCCAGCCAAGAGGGGAGAGGCGUCCCACCUGAUUUAAGUGGCCUGCUCUGUCUGGGAAUCCCGGCUCCCUGCAGAGGCCAUAGACAAACCUGAGACUGUUAUUCAGGAGGCAGUGGAGGUGACACAGGGAGAAAAGCAGGCACCGUGGCAACCAGGCAACCUCAUGUACGAGCCAAGGAGAAGAAGCAGCAGACACCAAUGCAGGAUUGGUCUUCCACUUCCAGUCUGGACAAGAUAGCAUAGACUCAUUUCUCCCUGCUUCUCCCAGAACUCCUUGUGAUCUUCUCGGUAUACAAGAGGAUAAGAGGUCCCUUUUGUUUUGAUGUCAUCCUUUUUGGUGUGUGAAACAAGGACCACAGGGAGCUGGCACCUUUGGCUACACUUCUUUUCACUCCCCAGAUACCAGGAUAAAUUCACUUUUGUCAAACCCAAACGAAUUGGAGCCAGGAAAGCAGGAAGGAGGAGAGUUCAUGCCUGCAUGUAUAAGAUAAAGACUGUGUCUCAAGGACCUUCUAAAAUAACCCCACAAGAUAUUCCUUUUAUAGGACUGCAGCAAUUCAGAUAAGAUGGUCUGGAAAGAACACUUGGCUAGCACAGCAUCUCCAUCAAUGAACUGAUGCCAACUCUGAUUUUGAACCUCCUGAACCAAUGAACUUCAUUUCCAACAGCUUAUGUGAAAUUAUCUUCGCCAAUAAAAGCUUCCCCUUCCCCUUCCUUUUUUUU